AAAGCCCAUGGAUAUAGUUUUAAAUUUAUGAAGACAAUUUAUGAUAAAAUAUUGAAGGCAGAAAGUAUUAAUAAUCAGAAUAGGCAAGUGGAACAACCAAGUACAUCCCAACAACAAGACCACCCCUAAUAUCAACAGACAUCUAAAUACCUGCCAGUGCCGUCAUUAACUAGAGGAAUGCCUGCUAUAAAUAAAUUAGCAAUGAAUCAAGAGCUAAAACUAGUAUAUAAGAGAAAUGCUACCAUCUUCCAAUGUUUACAAAAUGACAAGAAUCCUUAUCUGCCAGAUCAAAGAGCCAGGGUCUAUGUUUUGCCCUUGUACAAUGAAGACCUUAAUAAACAGGAAGAGUACAUAGGGCUAACUACAAAGAACUUAAAAGAUAGAAUCCAAGAACACAAUGCUGACAUUAAAAACAGAAAUCUAAAAACAGCAUUAGCAGAAAGGUCGUAUGAGCAUAAUAUACAAAUCAA
rnacentral:lncRNA from 1 species